UACGUAGGGGGCGAGCGUUGUCCGGAAUCAUUGGGCGUAAAGCGCGCGCAGGCGGUCCUUUAAGUCUGAUGUGAAAGCCCACGGCUCAACCGUGGAGGGUCAUUGGAAACUGGGGGACUUGAGUACAGAAGAGGAAAGUGGAAUUCCACGUGUAGCGGUGAAAUGCGUAGAUAUUGGGAGGAACACCAGUGGCGAAGGCGGCUCACUGGACCGGAACUGACGCUGAGGCGCGAAAGCGUGGGGAGCAAACAGG
rnacentral:rRNA from 1 species